CACAACCUCAACCUCCUGCUGAUUUCCUCUUUGUGUGCAGCUCAUAGUCUAAGCAGGCUUGUUUCUUUCACUUCCUUUUGAUUCUUGUCCUUGAUUCAUUAGUAUCUUGUGUACUAAUUCUUUGGUUCGUUCCGUGAUGGUGCUUUUGUGAUGGAAAGCAGUGAUGAUUCAGAAUCAAUAGUGGCGGAAACUUGUCUUUUGAUGAUGUAAGAACUGAAGCUUUAAACUGCUGCUUGUGUUUUGAUGGUGUAAGAUCUGAAGCUUUAAACUGCUGCUUUCAUGGCCAUGCCCAACUUAUAUAUCUUUUGUUUAAUUACCUGGUUUUUGUCGGGGUUGGUUUGAAGGGAAGGAGAUGAUGAUACCAAAUGAUGGAUCGCUCGCCGAUCGUAAAUGGCAGAUUGUUUCUUCUGCCUUGACGACCAUCAGAAUGUGCAGUAUCUGAACCUUCCAAGUCUUCAUCCCCUCCUGUUUUCUCUCUCUCUCUCUCUCUCUUGUUUUUUUUUGAUAAAAAUCUUUUUUGUAUUACUUAUAUUUUUAUGUCAAAAUCAAAGUUUGAAAGUCAACGAUCUCUCUUUUUAUUUUUUUAAAAUAUAUUUUGGUAUUUUUGACAACUUUGGAAGUGGAAUUAUUAUUUUGAAGUGGUAAUUUAAUUCAAUCAGGUUUUGAAUGGGGUUUAAUACAUUAUCACUAGACAAAUGGAUUACAUUACUCCCAUCUAUUUUAGGUAAUAAAAAAAAAUUCUGAUCUUAUGAUCCAUUUGGCCAUCCAAUGAUGCUUUCAAUCUUGUAAUCAUUUUAUCUCCUAAUCUUCAAAAUAAUUAAGAUUAUCACCACAAAAAUCGAAAAGAGGAUAAAUGAUAUCUAUUUUUUUUUAAUUGAGAGAGAGAGAGAGAGAGAAAUUAACUUUUUUUUGGUCAUAAAAAGAUAGAUAUUAAACAAAUACUUCCCUCCAAACACACAUGAAAUCUGGUAGAGAGAAAUGAAGGAAUGUCUUCUAAUAAUUAUUAUUCAGAUUUGUGCAGCAUAUAAAAUAAAUCAUUGGAUUUGCCAAGAACUCUUCUUAGACAAAAAGAGUUCAGUGUGUUCCACCCAAAACGAAAAAGAAAAAGGAGAUCAGUGUGUCAUGUGGAUGAGCAACUCUGUCAUCUUUAAUAAUGUUCUGUAGGAUGAACAGCUUGUGACCUUUUAGUGUUUGUUUUGUCCUCUCCAUUUUAUAUAUAUAGAGGAUGAACAGCUUGUGUUGGAGAAUAAAAGUACUAAUGUUCAAUACUCAAUUGCAUGGGUUUGGUUUGCUUUUGUUUCUCAUGCAAUUUUGUCAUCAUUAAGUCACCUCAUUCUAUGCAAUGCGCUUCAUGAAUUCAAAUAUCCAUUACCCUUCUUUUUUUUACCUUAGGAUAAAAUAAAAAAUGAACUCGAAGAUCUAUAAUCAUUGCCUUAAGAUAAAAUGUGAUUGUGAAGUGAUUUGACUAACAUCUUUCAACAAAUCAAAUAAUAAAAUUAAAUUAAAUUAUAAUUAAAAAAUAAAAGAUAAGGGAUUAUUUAGUUUUUUAAUUUACGAUUGAUUAGGAGUUUAGGACUCUAUUUAUAGAGUCUAGAAAUGUCAAAAUAAAAAGCAUUUAUCAAUGGGACAUGUCCUUUCAUUUAUAAUCAUAAAAAAAAAUAAUUAUAUUUUGUGGAUUUGUUGCAAAUUCAUCUAAUUAUAUUAUUAUAUAUUCAACUUAAGUUUUUUUGUUUUUCUUUUGGGAAGGGCGGGAUGCAUGUAAGUAAGAAUGGAUGUUUGGGUCAACGAAGGAAAGGGACUUGCACUUGAGGGAAAUGGUCCAUCAGCUCUUCAAGGAACUCUGACACACUUGAACAUCAUUAUCUAUAAUAUUUGUAUAUAUUUAUUAUUCAGAUCUUUUUUUGAAAUACAGAAUCACUAAUGUAUAUAAUGAAUGUAACUGUAUUACUACUACCUGAUUAACUAUUUUAAUUUUAAUAGACAAAAUUUGGCCUUUUGUCAUUAUUAUCAUAAUAAUAAAAAGUUUUUGUCUUAAAAAAUUACACACAUGGAAUGAAAUGAAUAAUAAGUGGAAAUUCUAAUACUGAGCUAAUUUAAAUAUUUUAGAUUAAUAGUUCAGACUCAUUAAGUUUAUCCUAUCAAUCAGAUCAUGAUAAAUGAUACUAGAAUAAUUAUAACAUUAAAUAGAUUGAGAGACCCAAAUGAAAAAAAAUAUAUAUAUAUAUCAUACUAUUAGCAACAGUAUAAAUGGAAUGAGAUUGAAUUAUAUGAGAGAAAAAAUAUCACCAUAUUUAUCGAGCAGCUUUCUUUCUUUAAACUACAUACUUCACAAUGAUAUGAGACUGCACACGACAAAACGAUAUAGUUGAUGAUUCUCCCAACCAAGUGCAGCUUCUAAAUCUUCAGAUAACAUUACCAAAUGACGAGAGGAGCUCAUAAUUAUAACUUAUGCAAAACUAUCAACAAAUAUCAGAAAGUGUUACAUAGAUCGACAUUUCAUCGGGAAAAGUCCACGUUAUUUAUUUAUUUUAUUAAAUGACACCUCUCAUAUUUAUUUUUAUUUAAAAAUAUUUUUUUAAAGUAAUAGUAAUAAUAAUAAUAAUAAUCAUGAAUCAAACCCAAUUAAAUUUAAAGAUUUUCUUUAGAUAAAUUUUUCGAUCGAACGUAACUUAAAUGUGACAUAGUCGAAUUUUGAGUAUAACUAAAUGAACUUUUAUUAAAUCAAUCUAAAUUUUUAUAGAAUAAAUAGAAUAUGAUAAGAUGGUUAAUAAUAAUAAUAUUUUUAUUUUUUAAUAAUAUAUGAUAAUUAAUUAUUAAAAUUUAAGAUUUUUUUUAGUGUGAUCAAGUAUAACUUUAUCAACUUAUACUAAACUAACCUAAAUUUUCACAUAACUACUAGAACAUAGUUCUAAGAUGAAUAAUAUGUUUUUUUUUAAUUUUUAAAAAAGGUAUAAUAAUUAAUUAUUUUAAAAAAGGAUUUUUUGAAUAUGUUUUGUGAUAAGUGUAACUUAGAUCAAUUUUGAAUGUGGCUAAACCAACUUCCAUUAAACUAAUUCAAACUUCUACUAAACUAUGUAAUUAUGAUUCUAAAAAGAUUAGCAUUUUAUAUUUUUAUUAAAUUUUAUGAUAAUUAAUUAUUAAAAUUAUAGAUUUUGUGCAUUGGUUAUAACUUAGCUUAAUUUCAAGAGUAAUUUGAUCAAUUUCUAUUAAAUCAACUAAAACUUUUAAGUAAUCACUAAGAUAUUAUUUUAAGAUGAUUAAUACUAUUUUUUUAUUUAUUUUAAAAAAUAUUGUGACAUUUUUUAAAUAUAUUUUAUGAUGUAGUAUAACUCAAUUCAACUUUCAAGAAACCAACUUCAAAAUUUUAUAAAAUCACUAAGAUAUAAUUUUAAGAUGAUUAGUAUUUUGUUUAUUUAAAAAAAAAUUAUGAUAAUUAAUUAUAAAAUUAACAUUUUUUGAAUAACAUAUGUCAUUUAAAUAAAAAGCUAAGGCAUUUUCAUACAAGUGAAAUAAAAAGAACACCCUAACUAAUAUCAAAUAUGAGGAGCAUCAUCCAAGCAUUACACAUACGUCUGAAUAGUUUCCUUUCCUUCUUUUCUCACCACCUUUCCAAAACAGUCACAGCUUUCCCCCUUUCCGUAACAGACACACGCACACACGCACACACGCGGCUUUCAUGUUUCUUUUUCCUCCCAGAAACCCUCCUCUUGUCAUUCGCUUCCUUGUUCUUCUUUCCUCCGUAAGCCCCUCAAAAUCUGGUUUCUUUAUCCUCCUCUCGUUUCAUUCUCCAUCAACAUCUGUUUCUCCGCUGCUACAAAUGCUAUCUAUGCCUUCAUUCUUCUCCAUAUCUGCUGGUUAGGGAGCCGGAGCCGGAGCCUUAAACCCUUGAAGUCUCCUCCUUUCUCCUUGUUCUUGUUGUGGUGGAAAUUUGUGCUUUCGCUUCUUUUCUUUUUAGAAUUAGGGUUUUGGGGAUGGGAGGAGGAUGGAAGGUGGAGAAACUGGUGGCUGUGCGGCGCUCGCUGCGGACGAGCCUGGACAGGUCGCGGGCGCUGGGCGCCGCCCUCGCCCGCGCCGGGCCCCGCCUCGACGAGAUCCGGCAGCGGCUUCCCCCGAUGGAGGCCGCCGUCCGCCCGAUCCGCGCCGACCGCGACGCGCUGGCGGACGCAGGCGGGCACAUUGAUCGCUCCGUCGUCCCCGCCGCCGCCGUUCUCAAGGUCUUCGACGCGGUCCAUGGCCUCGAGCGCUCCCUCCUCUCCGACCCCCGCGCCGACCUCCCCGGCUACCUCGCCGUGCUCAAGCACCUCGAGGAGGCCCUGCGCUUCCUCUCCGACAACUGCGGCCUCGCCGUGCAGUGGCUCGACGACAUCGUUGACUACCUCGACGACCAAACCCUCGCUGACCAGCGCUUCAUUAUGGGUCUCAAGUCCUUCCUUGUCUCUCUCAAGUCCUCGCCUUCGCCUCUCGACGGCGGCCUCCUCGCGGCCACCCUUGACAAGCUCGAAUCCGAGUUCCGGCUCCUCCUGGCCGAGCACACCACCCCUCUUCCGAUGCCCCCCGACACAUCCGACGCUUCCACCAUCUCCACCUCCCCAAUCCCGGUCCUCGUCAUCAACAAACUCCGCGCCAUCCUCGAGAGGAUGACUGCAAAUAACCUGCUUGAUCGCUGCGUCUCGAUCUUUGUGGAUGUCCGAGGAUCCAACAUCCGCGCCAGCCUCCGAGCGCUCAACCUCGACUACCUGGAGAUCACGCCCAAUGAGUUCAAUGACGUGCAGAGCAUCGAAGGAUACAUCGAGAAGUGGGGUCGUCACCUUCAGUUUGCCGUCAAGCACCUCUUCGAGACCGAGCUCAAGGUCUGCGUCGAGGUGUUUGAGCAAACCGGACCACCUGAUGUAGCUGUAUCAUGCUUCGCUGAUAUUGCUGCGCGGGCUGGAAUCCUCGGAUUCCUCCGGUUUGGGACGAUUGUCACCGAGACAAGGAAAGAUCCCAUCAAACUUCUCAAGCUUCUUGAUGUCUUUGCAACACUGAACAAAUUAAGAUUGGAUUUCAACCGGCUUUUUCGAGGAAAAGAUUGUGUUGAGAUCCAGAACCAAACUAGGGAUCUUAUUAAGAGAGUGAUCGAUGGGGCUUGUGACAUCUUUUGGGAGCUUUUGCAUCAAGUGGAGCUACAAAGACAGAUGCCACCACCUUCUGAUGGAGCUGUGCCAAGGUUGGUGAGCUUCAUCACUGAAUACUGCAAUAAACUUCUCAGUGAUGAGUAUCGGCCAGUUCUUACUCAAGUUCUGAUCAUACAUCGGAGCUGGAAGCAGGAGAAGUUUCAAGAAGAAAUGCUAACUGAUGCGAUUUUGGAGAUAUUUAAAGCCCUCGAGGCUAACUUUGACAUUUGGUCUAAGAGCUACGGGGACACUUCACUUUCCUUCCUAUUUGCAAUGAACACACAUUGGCAUUUCUACAAGAAUUUGAAGGGGACUAGGCUGGGGGAGCUGUUAGGCGAGGCAAAGUUGAAAGAGCAUGAGCAGUACAAGGAUUAUUAUGCUGCAUCUUUCUUGAGGGAAAGCUGGGGAAAGCUUCCACCUUUAUUGAGCAGGGAAGGGUUGAUAUUGUUCUCUGGGGGUAGGGUCAAGGCUCGGGAUCUUGUGAAGCAGCGUUUGAAAGGUUUCAACGAGUCCUUUAAUGAGAUGUAUCAUAAGCAGUUGAGUUGGGUUAUAUCAGACAAGGACUUGAGGGAGAAGAUGUGUCAAUUGGUAGUGCAGACUAUUGUUCCUAGCUACCGGAGCUAUAUGCAGAACUAUGGGCCUCUGGUCGAGCAAGAUUCAAGUGCAAGCAAAUAUGCAAAGUACACAGCUCAAAGCUUGGAGAAGAUGCUUGGUUCUCUUUUUCAGCAUAAACCCGGGAGAACAAUGAGUCUCAGCAUUGGGCACUCAAAUGGAAAAUUGACUAGUGUGAUGAACAACCUGUCUCGCUCUGCCUCUACCGUGAGUUGAUGAAGCCAUAUCUCUGUUUAAUUUGAAGGAAAAGUCAAUGCUUAUUCUCCACAGGCACAGCAGUCGAAAGUAGAAGUCGAUUUUACAGUAGUCCUUGUUGGUUAAUGGAUAUUUGAUGCAGCAGCAUGUGAUGGUGGCCCGAUGCAACAAAUUUUACAAACUUGUUACAUUGGGUAACUGGGGAUAAGAGGGCCCCUGAAUGUGGAAGCUGAAAUUGAAGCAUGCUAUAGUCAAAUUAAUUUGUGCAUAUAUGUCUUGAGAAAUAGUAGGAUGGUGGUGACCAUGUGAUUAAUUCUUUGGCACAUUUGUAGUAGAAGUUACUUUGCUAUUAUGCUUUAGAGGUUCUUCCACUCUCAGUACGCAUUACAUUUUGCCUAGCAUCUAGUUCUUCAUUUUACGCUUGAGGAUGUAGAAACUAAAUAUACAAUUUGAUUUUUUGAUUUUAUUUGUACAAUUUAUUGAUAAUUGUAUCCUUGUGUCCUUCCUUUUCAUUCUCAACAUUUAUCUUACAAAGAUGCAAUAUGGUGCUGGCUAGUUAGGUGCAUGCUCUAGGAGUGGAACAAUUUGGGCUAUGACCAUUAACAUCAAAUUUCUUCUAAAAUAAUUAUUUUGGCCAAUUCAUAUCAUUAUUUUGAAUUGGUUCUCUUUCUUGGAGGAACCUAUACUUCCAUUUUACCUGCUAAUUUAUACUUUGCAUUUGUGUUCUACCUAAAAUUUCCAUGCUUUGGUUCACUUUGCUUGUCUUGGUACUCAACUUAUAAACUCUAUGAAUUACAAUGCAAAUGAAAAUGGUCUUAAAAGACAUGUUAAGUAGUUUAACAGUGCAGAUUACAACAAGGGCAAACAGUUUAUGAUGCUAGAUCAACAGAGCUAGUGAAUAUAUGUUGGGUCCAUACAAUAGUCGUGCUGAUGAGUUAACCUUCCAUUAAAACACAUGCACAUGUCUUCAAUAUGAAAAAUUUCACCAUUGUGUCUGAAAUAUUAGUCCCUCCUGGUUUAGUUGGUCUGGAUUUGAGAAUCGCUUACAAUGAGACAAGUUAUUUGGUGUUCUCAUGAGCCCAUUGGUAUAGGUGAUAUAUAUCCUGGCCUAAGGUCUUCAUGUUGUGGGAACCAUGUAACAUUCAGUUGCAAGUUUGACCUUAUAAUCAGUAAAGAGUUUGAUAUGGGCCAAUAUAGAGUGAAAUGAAGGUUGAGAUUUAUUUUUGUUCGUUCUCUAGUUCAAUGCAUGGUGAUUUUAAACUUUAUGGACUUCUCCUGUGUGGAGCCCAAACUCAACAGAAAUCUUGGCUCAUACCAUAUUUUUGUAUCAGGGGCCAUAGUUCAAAGAAUAGCUUACUACCUCAGUUUAAAGUAACAGAGGGUGCAAGGCUAGAAGUUGGUUGUGAUGCCUCUUAUGUAAGAAUAUAAGCCAUUUGAAUUAAAAAGAGUGAUAUAUAGUCUUGGAGAUAGACUUUUAGUGUUAAUCAUGCUACAAGAAACUUGAAUGCUAUUACUUUUUAGUAAUACUGGAACUCUAUUUUUGCAGGAAAAUGUGGUAAUGUUUGUUGUGUUUUUCUAAUGUUGUGUUUAGAGAACAUGCUUGAUGUCAUUGAAGUUACAGAUUUUAUGACACUGAUACUUGGAAAAGUCAAAAUUGCAAGCCUUUGAUCCAUUUAUAGCGAUGACUUUAUAACCUGGCCAGAAUCAUUGUAAAUUUUAAUAUAUUUUUCAUUUGAAUAAAGGUAAGUUUAGGGUAUAUUUUGUAGGUGUCUAAGUUGGCAAAUGAUAACAUCUUUCACAAUCCUACAUUAGUUACCAAUGUUGUUGGGGAAGUAAAGAAUUAAACCAACAUAAAUAGUGACAAAUCUUAGGUUUAAAUGGAGAUUUUAAGGAAAAAAGAAAAUUCUUAUCUUUAAUUGAAGAUCUCAUCCUUACAAGGAAGUGUUUCUUUAUUGAAGAACAACAAAAGAGGAAGCUUAUCGACCAAGUAUUUAUCACAAGAAAGAUUUUGUCAAAAUAAUUAUGGAAAAACAUCUUCCCUGAUGAAAUAAUUGAUAUGUUUUGAUUUAUGAGAUGUAAUUUUCUUUAUUGGAUUCUUCAUUAAUUUGUGUUUUCUUUUCUUUUUGUGAUUUGGGACCUGUAUAAAGGGGAAAGAGAUUGUAAGUGAAGAUCACAGAAUGAUUAAAUGGAUUGAAGUUUCUUUCCAACAUUAUGUGUGACUGAUGUAAGGCCAUUUUAUAGCCAACCUAUGAGAUGGAUGGAUGUGUGAGACUUUUGUCCCUAAAAGGUUCCUACUUGAGAGAGAGUGAGAGCUAAUAGUUAUCUUUUUUAUACUUAUUAUAACUUUAUAUUAUUAUCUUAAUGUUCCUCUUUUUUUUUCUUGUUUUAUUCUCAAAUAAAGAAAAAUACACUUUUCGUACUCGUCCUACACCAAAACUAUAAUUUGCAAGAUUAGAAUCAGUAUUGGAUAGGGACAACUAUCUAGAUCAGUAGGAUUGGAUCAAUAGGACCAGAGUUGAAUGAGGAAAAAGUUAAACAAGUAUCAUAUAAAAUUAACAAACAUAAACAAAUAAAAAAUUAUGAACUCAAAAUAUUAUAUGCUAAAAUUUCUUUUGUGUUAACAGGAUUGAUUUGAAAUUGUGUAAGACUGAUGUUGAAGGGAAAGGCGAUACUUUUCCAUCCAUGCUUUGCCAUUUGGUGCAAUUUACACUAAAAUUUUAAUUUGUAUUACAUUAUUUUGUCUCAUUAUUAAAUAAGAAUGCCUGGGAGGGAUGAAUUUUAGCUAAUUGAUCAUGAUAAAUGCAUAGUAUUGCAUGUGCAACAAGUUAGCAUAGGUUUUUGGUACCAUUAAGCAAUCUGAGAUUUUCUGGAGAAUCUGAAAGAGAAAAAAGGAGAAAUAAGCUUCAAAACAUUGCCAACCUUUGUAAACUCUGAUGAUUCAGCGACUUACGUUUCCAAGGCUUAGAUGUAUAGGUUUCUUGGUCGUAUCUUGUCCUUUUUUCAUUAGAGAAAACUUGUGUCAUAUUGAUCAUUACAAGGAUAAAAUAGACUGAUUCUGAAGAAGUUCUGAACGUAUAAGAACCAUACAGCUUUGUAGGUAAACUACUUCAUGUGUCAAGUUUCAUGCUCUUAUUUGACUUGGUGAUGAGCUUUCAAUAACGUUGAGAUGCUGAUAUAAUAGUCUAUGCGUGAGUGAGUAUUGUUGAUUAACAUUGGUACUCUGUUCUUGGAAAUCCAAUUCAUGAAAGUUGAGGUACUGUUUCAUGUUGCAUUUCUAGCUUGCUUUAAUAUAAACCAUGUUAUCCAGAGAUGCAACAAGCCUUCAUGAACCUGCUAAUAUAAACGCUGUUGAUUUGUCUUCUACAGUGUUAUCUCCUUAAAUUAUCAUAUAUGUGAGUCUAAACUUGUCAUUUCAGAAUUAGACAACUAUAAUUAAGAAUUGUGGCAUGCUUUAUGAAUGGCAAUCAAAAUUUCCUUUGUUGAGAGUGGUUAUAGGUGAAUUAUUCGUGUCAUGAGAUGUUGAUUAUUUACUUCAUCUGAAAGGCAAUAUAUUUUUUUUCCACUUGGCUAUCUUGUACAUUAACUUUCUCGUCUUUCUACUUCUUCUUCUUAUUUAUUUCAGGCUGUCAAAUUUAUUAGUUUUAGUACAAGAAAAUGAUGUGGAUAAAUAAUAAUUGUUUGGUGAGUUCUCAAAACUUGCACAAGUGGAACUUGAUGCGUAUCUUUAUUUGGCUCUUUCGGUUGUUUGGUGAGUCCUCAGAACUUGCACAAGUGGAACUUGAUGCGUAUCUUUAUUUGGCUCUUUCUGUAAACUGAUGAUGCCAAAACAAUUGCUUUGUGGAGUAUUUUCUUCUUCUUUUGUAAAGGAAAAUAGUGACUCCCUAACAACUCUUUUCCUAUGAAGAUGAUCUGCCUUUCUAACACAUACUUCAUGAUGUUGAUUUUCUGGCAUUUAACUGUGUAUGAAUUGUCUUGCAGCUUGAGAAGUUGUUUGCUCCCUAAGCUUAUGGUUCGAAAUUGAGGAUCUUAAUUAGCUUUCUUUGAUAUUGCUUUUAUCAAUUGAUUAAGGUACGAGGCAUGUGAUGCUUGAAAUAAUUUUAGUUCUUCCUGUCUAUGAUUUCUUCUCCUUUGAUCAUUACUCAUUCCAAAAAUAACAUUAGUGUUGAAGAAAUUUUCACCUCCUCCUUGGCUGCAGUAACUUUCUCUAGUCUGUCUACUUCAUCUUCUCUUUUUGUUUCAGGCUGUCAUUCUUACUGUUUGGUGAGUGUCAAAAUUUUCACAAGUCUAACUUAUGCAUAUCUUAAUUCGGUUUGUUUUGUAAACUGAUGAUGCUAGAACAAUUACUUUGUGGAGUGCCUUUGUAAAGGAAAACAGUGACUCCCUUGCAACUUUGUUCCUUUCAAGAUGAUCCACCUUACCAACACAUAUUUCAUGAUGUUGAUUUGCUGACAUCUGUCUAUGAAUUGCCUUGCAGCUUGACAAGUUGUUUGCUCCCUAAGCUUAUGGUUUGAAAAUGGGGAUCUCAAUUAUCAUGGAGGACUUUCUUUGAUAUUGCUUUUAUCAACUGAUAUGGUUCUACUUGGCAAUGAUUUCUUCUCCUUUGAUCAUUCUGCAUUCCAACAACAACACAGGUGUUGAAGAAAUUUUCAGGUGCUUGCUGGCCAACCUCUUGUGCUUGUUUCAGAUUGGUUUUACCCUGUAAAUUUUACUUGUUUGAAUGUUUUCGUGUUUUUCUUCUACUACUUCUGGACCUCACAUGUCUCCCACCUAACCAGGACAGCUUGCAAGCUCAUCCACUGGUCUUUGCCUCUUGGCACUGACUCAUCUUUGUUGGUGCAGCUGCCUCCAUGGCCCUGUGGCAGUCCUUCCUCCACUGUCAUCUCGCCAUCAUGUGCCCAUUAGUCUUCCUGGCGACAGGGACUGCUUCCACCUCCCCGGGCUGCCGCUGCGAGGGAAACCAAUCAAAACCUCCAUGGACGGUUCUGAUCAAUGACUCCAGGGCUACACUCUUACCUCCAUCGUCGUAUCUAUCGGCUUAACCUUUUAGAUUAAUCGAGCUGACAUCUUGCCUGUGUUCUCAUCUCUCAGAAACAUUCCAGUGUCCUUCAUCUUUGUUAGGAGUCGAUGCAGUGCAGGCGAGCAAUUGAAAUCUUUCCUCAGAACUCCCUCGGUUCCAGGUAAGUAGUAUUGCUUUACCUGGGAUUCCAGAGUAGUAGUUAAUGGAGAAACUAAUACUCCCUGUAAUGGAUUUCUUGCGUUGCACUUAAUCUCUCAUGUACUUUUUGCCGCAUCUUUAAGGGUACAAGCACAUAUGGUUGAUAAGAAAGGGACAUCCAUGGAGCCCUUGGCCAACGACUUGGUUCAGGAGUCGGAACACGAAUCCUGCACGUGGCAGGACGGGAGGUGGCUCUCGCGCUCUCUCUCUUUCUGAUACGUGCACGAUUCUUACAGUAGGAUGUCAUCCACGAGUCGUGUAUACGUGAAGUGUAGAUGCUUACGGGCUAAUGACACGAUAAUAACUCGUGUAGUUAGAUUUUUUUAAUAUCUUAGUUCAUAGGCUUAAAAAGUUUAUAUUAUAAUUUUUAUAAUUAUAAAAGUAUAACAUUUAGUUUUAUUUAUUAUAGGUUUUAUCGAUGAAAAUAUGAAAACGAUCGAUAAAAUGAUAAUUUUAAUGUUUCAGUUAUGUUAUCGAUGAUGACAAAUGAUGGUAUCAUUAGGGUCAUGGGUGGUUGGUGAGAGUAAGGAAGGAGAACUACACCGAGAGAUGAGGAGACGAUACAGAUGUCAAUGUUUUCUAUUUACGUUGACGUCGAUACAGAUGCAGAGUAUUCUACAUUUGUGUCGGUAUCGAUGUUCUACGUACUGAUGUAAAGUGUCGGUGUUUACGUCAUCACUUCACCUCUUAUCAUCAUUCUCCCUCCUCAUCCAUAAUAAUUAUCUAUGAUCGUUAGCGGCGUUAUCAUUUAUCAUCAUCAAAAAUAUAAUUAAAAUAUUAAAAUUAUUUUUUUACUUAUCGUUUUUAUAUUUUUAUUGAUAAAAAUAAAAAUAAUAAAAUCAAAUACUUUAUUUUUAUAAUUAUAAAACAAAUUUAAGUUUAGAAAUUACCAAGCUAAAGAUGUCUGAAUACGGGCUAAUAUGUAAUUAGGCCGCUCACGUACGAGAGAGAGAGAGAGAGAGGGCGAGGACUUGGUAUUCGUGUGGGCGAGUCAGGUUGUUGUGUUGCGGUCUUUAAGCUGCGUCGGUGUCUCGAAUNNNNNNNNNNNNNNNNNNNNNNNNNNNNNNNNNNNNNNNNNNNNNNNNNNNNNNNNNNNNNNNNNNNNNNNNNNNNNNNNNNNNNNNNNNNNNNNNNNNNNNNNNNNNNNNNNNNNNNNNNNNNNNNNNNNNNNNNNNNNNNNNNNNNNNNNNNNNNNNNNNNNNNNNNNNNNNNNNNNNNNNNNNNNNNNNNNNNNNNNNNNNNNNNNNNNNNNNNNNNNNNNNNNNNNNNNNNNNNNNNNNNNNNNNNNNNNNNNNNNNNNNNNNNNNNNNNNNNNNNNNNNNNNNNNNNNNNNNNNNNNNNNNNNNNNNNNNNNNNNNNNNNNNNNNNNNNNNNNNNNNNNNNNNNNNNNNNNNNNNNNNNNNNNNNNNNNNNNNNNNNNNNNNNNNNNNNNNNNNNNNNNNNNNNNNNNNNNNNNNNNNNNNNNNNNNNNNNNNNNNNNNNNNNNNNNNNNNNNNNNNNNNNNNNNNNNNNNNNNNNNNNNNNNNNNNNNNNNNNNNNNNNNNNNNNNNNNNNNNNNNNNNNNNNNNNNNNNNNNNNNNNNNNNNNNNNNNNNNNNNNNNNNNNNNNNNNNNNNNNNNNNNNNNNNNNNNNNNNNNNNNNNNNNNNNNNNNNNNNNNNNNNNNNNNNNNAGUUAAGGUACCGGCCGUCUACGUACGUAGAGAGAGAGAGAGAGAGGGCGAGGACUUGGUAUUCGUGUGGGCGAGUCAGGUUGUUGUGUUGCGGUCUUUAAGCUGCGUCGGUGUCUCGAAUGUAGACACGUUUUGGAGCUCGAUGGGAACGUGUCAAACCUUCCUCACUCUCUCUCC
rnacentral:lncRNA from 1 species